rnacentral:lncRNA from 1 species
GCCCGAUGCCUGCGGCUACGCCAGACCUCCUUGGAGCCUGUUGCUUUCCGGCUGCCCCGGGUCAGAGUGAGUUUGGGUCAAGGACUCAAGCGCCUCUUUUUGUGGAUGGCCAGAGACCAAGGAACUUAAGUUCUUACCUGUUCUCACACCCAAACCUCCAAGCUGUCUACUCUUUGGGGACAUUUGCCUUUGUAUUCCACUGAGGUUCUGCAAAGCAUGUGAAUGCCAGUGUGGGUGGGGCCAGGUCUCGGCCUGGUGCAUCCCGGGCCCACCGGUCAGUGUCUCAGGAUAGCCCCUUCGUCCUCUUCCUCUGCAGAAAGAAUUCUUCCAAGAUGAUGUGUUCCCAGAUACAGCUGUGACCUGGGCGUCCGCACUCGACGCCAAAGCCUGGUUCAAGGGUGCUAAUGGACAACCCCGGCUACUGAGUUUACAGCCCCCUGGCAUGACCCCAGUGAGCCAAGCCCCCCGGGAGGUCCCUGCCCGAAGAACCCCAUCCUCAGCACAGUACUUGGAAGAGAAGUCUGACCAGCAAAAGAAAGAAGAGCUGCUGAAUGCCAUGGUGGCAAAGCUGGGGAACCGAGAAGACCCACUGCCCCAGGACUCCUUUGAAGGGGUGGAUGAAGAUGAGUGGGACUAGCCUGCAUGUGAGGCACGCCUACCCACAGCUGCCACUGCCACCUCCCUGAACCGCCUGCGGCCCCUCCACACCUUAUAUCUCUGCAAACUGAACAGUGCUGCGCUGGCCCUGGCACACACAUCCAGCCCAGAAGCCCUGGGCUUCAUGCAGGCCUCAGGCACUUCCACAGCUGCUGGGCCUCGCCGCAGCUCCAGAGACUGUCUGCUCCUUUGCUGUCUGGGGCCAGCUGUUUAUUCUCAGCGGCCUGUCAGCAUGAGACACCACUGGGUGGGAGGUAGGUGUCAGUAGCAUGUCUCUGGGCCAACCCUGGAUGCCCUGGCUCUCCUAGUCUUUCUCUGGUUUUCUCUAACAUCAUCUGCCGUCACUACAAGCCAAGCUAUCUUGCCUACCGCACCAGCCCCAGUCAAGGACACUGGGAGCUGGUCCCCCACAGGCUGUUGGGGACAGCUCUCUCC